rnacentral:rRNA from 1 species
UACGUAGGGCGCAAGCGUUAUCCGGAAUUAUUGGGCGUAAAGAGUUCGUAGGCGGCAUUGCAAGUAGGGUGUGAAAGCCCUCGGCUCAACCGAGGAAUUGCGCUCUAAACUGCAGUGCUUGAGGAACCUAGAGGUGAGCAGAACAGAUGGUGGAGCGGUGAAAUGCGUUGAUAUCAUCUGGAAUACCGGAGGCGAAGGCGGCUCACUGGGAGUUUUCUGACGCUGAGGAACGAAAGCCAGGGUAGCGAACGGG